AAUUAUAAAGGUCGUAAAGGCUCCCGACACACUCGAAAGAGUACCUGAGAUGAUGGAUACGCCGCCCAUCUUAUAAUU
rnacentral:ncRNA from 1 species